rnacentral:lncRNA from 1 species
UAAUUAGAUUUAAGAGUUAUACAGUAAUUCUCAUCUAUUAUUGGGAAAUCAAAACUCUUAAAGAAGAUUUAAGAACCAAUUUUUUUUUUCUGAUAAUUCGGGGAUAUCCGGUGGGUCGAGACCCAACCGACUAGUCCGCUGAGAGUUUGACUACGGCCCCAGGCAGACCCGGUAAGCUCACAAGGGGAAUUAGUACCCAUGUCGCCUGCCUAUAUAGAUGUAUAAAUCUGAGUUGACGCAGAUUCGAACCAUGUUUCUUAGGGACACUGAGAUACUAUGCGCCACCCGGGCACAUUCACGUGGUUAAAACCCAAAUUUUCAGCCAUUAUCAACAACGUAAUCAGAUUUUAUUUAUUUACAUCAUCUUAAAAUUCGUUUACGUUCAGUGUAUAACAACAUUUGAGUUUUUCGUUCGGUCAAUUAACAACUAGUUCAAUUUGUUUUAAAUGGAUGCCUACGCGUAUGAAAUCGAUCCGUAUUUGGUCACUAAAAAUUUACAAUAUCAAUACAUCCUCCGGAAUCAAUUUUAGCUUCGUUCCAACAAACAAAUUGCAUGGGAACAGGAACUAAUUGGGUAUUUUAAUGGGCAAAAACAAGUUAAUUAAAUCAAUGGAUUCUUUUCGUGGUGUCUGUUUUUAUAGUUG